ensembl:misc_RNA 7SK 7SK RNA
AGACUUUGUUCCCAUUUUUCCCAUCUGUCACCCCAUUGAGUGCCAGGGUUGAUUUGGCUGAUCUGGCUGGCGAGGCGGGUGUCCCCUUCCUCCCUCACCGCUCCAUGUGCGUCCCUCCCUAAGCUGCACGCUCAUUCAAAGAGGAUGACCACCCCCGAUAGAGGAGGACCAUUUCCUUGGUCAAAGGUACACAAGUAGCUGUGCUCGCCUGCUAAACCGCCAAACAAAUGUUCAGCAUGCAUCUGAUAAGGUUGCCUUGGGUAGUGAUAAACAUCCAGUCGCUAGGCAUU